rnacentral:rRNA from 1 species
GUGCCAGCCGCCGCGGUAAGACAGAGGGUGCAAACGUUGUUCGGAUUUACUGGGCGUAAAGCGUGUGUAGGCGGCUUGGCAAGUUGGAUGUGAAAGCCCACGGCUCAACCGUGGAAGCGCAUCCAAAACUGCCUCGCUCGAGUCUCGGAGAGGAAGGUGGAAUGCUUGGUGUAGAGGUGAAAUUCGUAGAUAUCAAGCAGAACACCUGCGGCGAAGGCGGCCUUCUGGACGAUGACUGACGCUGAGACACGAAAGCGUGGGGAGCAAACAGGAUUAGAUACCCCAGUAGUCC